GGACAGUACAGUGGCCACGGGGGUACGCCGCUACGUUGCUUUCACUUGGUACGCUCGUAUAGUAUAGAGCUAAAAGUAAACAUAGAUCCAUGUGAUGUGACGUAGUGGUACCCUCCCGUGUCUAUCACAAC
rnacentral:pre_miRNA from 2 species